UGCUAUUACUAGACGUAACAGAUAGAGAUUUUCAAUCUACAUUUAUCAUGACCUGGAAAGAAAAUGCCGAUGAAUAAGUCUGUGAUUUCUGGUGAAAUUGACGAGUGCAUUUUACUCAUCGGAACACGCACACAAGCAGGCUAUGGGGACAUUGUGGUGCUACCUGAAAACGCAAGAUCAAAAAUGGAGAACGAACAAAGUUCAUAGACUGAAGUGCAGGCUCCAUUUUGGCGCAUGGCCUGCAAGACGAGAGCAAUGAUUGAUGCCACAACAAAAAUGGCAUCAAUCAUCGGCACACCAUUUUGGAAACUGCGCAGCUCCCAUUUUGGAACGACGGGAGCUCGAACACGACGAAACAUAAACGAACAUAAUCUAAUGUCAUUGUUCGACAACAGAUGGCGCUGCAACUGGACAACAAACAUUUCCACCGACACUCAGCACUGCAGACGACAAGGGACAAAAAUAGAAGCACUGUAUAAUUAAUAUUAAUUAUCACAUCACUCAUCAGUGUAUUUGACGAUAAUUUAAUUACGAUAGCCAAAUUGUAAAUUACAUUGGAUGAUACCAACUGGAUUGAUACCUGGAUCAACUUGGGUCAAUCAGAUCAAUCAGAUCAAGAUCUCUAACGAAAUGGAAACUGGGAAUGAAGAAAUCUCAUAUUAUCACGACAAGAUAUCAAAAUUUGAUGAUCUGAAUGCGAAAUUGGAUGAGAUGAAAGACCAAAUCAUUAAGACCAAUGUGAGAUGUCAUAUGCUACAUGUCGACCUAGUGACACAAUUCAAUCCACACACGCAGGAGAUUGCUAGCCGACUGGAGCAGACUUGUGAGAAGUGCAAAGCAAAGUUAGACGCUGCCAGAGCCACGAACGGACAGUAACACACGACACGCAAACAAGUAGUUGUAAACAGAUUUCAGAUUUCUUUUAUUGAAGAAAUUUAUAAAAAGAUAUGCAGAUCCAA